rfam:Heligmosomoides polygyrus genome assembly, scaffold: HPBE_scaffold0001204
GCGCCGGUGGUCUAAUGGCGUAGAGCAUUCCCGCCCGGUCAGAGGGAGGCGCGGGUUCGAGUCCCGCCUGGCGCU